AUGACACCAUCAUCAUGGUGGAGGGCUCGGAGGGUGACCUUGCCAAUCUUAAGUUUCUCCUCCUGUGCUUCCAGCAGAUGUCUGGGCUUAAAAUCAACUUCGACAAGAGUGAAGUUAUGGUCCUUGGGUAUUCUCCUGAGGAGGCCCAGCUCAUUGCGGACCGCCUCAACUGCCAGCUGGGAUCCUUCCCCACGACUUACCUGGGGGUUCCCAUUAGUGAUUCGCGACUAUCCGUCGCGGAUCUUCGGCCCACAGUGA
rnacentral:rRNA from 1 species